GACGAACGCUGGCGGCGUGCUUAACACAUGCAAGUCGAACGGACAGGCCCUGCUCUUGUUGGUCGCUCGAGUGGCGAACUGGUGAGUAACACGUGAGUAACCUGCCCUUGACUUUCGGAUAACUUCAGGAAACUCGGGCUAAUACCGCAUAUGACCUCCUGCUGCAUGGUGGGGGUCGGAAAGUUUCGGCGGUUGGGGUUGUACUCGCGGCUUAUCAGCUUGUUGGUGGGGUAGUGGCUUACCAAGGCUUUGACGGGUAGGCGGCCUGAGAGGGUGACCGGCAACAUUGGGACUGAGAUACGGCCCAGACUCCUACGGGAGGCAGCAGUGGGGAAUAUUGCAGAAUGGGCGGAAGCCUGAUGCAGAAACGCCGCGUGCGGAAUAACGGCCUUCGGGUUGUAAACCGCUUUCGCCUGUGACGAAGCGUGAGUGACGGUAAUGGGUAAAGAAGCACCGGCUAACUACGUG
rnacentral:rRNA from 1 species